rnacentral:lncRNA from 1 species
GCAGGAAGGAGGACAAGCACAAGUAAUGUAGAACUUCUAGUGGAACAGGAGCUACCGGUUGUGUUGCUGCACCUUUUGCGUUCCCUCAAAAUUGCCGUACUCUCUCACAGCUCUCCGUGUUUGCGGAUGUGUAAUUCCUUGAUGGUUUCCACUUGGCAUGUGCAGUCCUUCAAGGUCUGAAGCUGGCGGAUGUGGCCAAGUGGUGGCCAUGG